rnacentral:rRNA from 1 species
UACAGAGGUCUCAAGCGUUGUUCGGAUUCAUUGGGCGUAAAGGGUGCGUAGGUGGCGGGGUAAGUCAGGUGUGAAAUCUCGAGGCUCAACCUCGAAACUGCACUUGAUACUGCCUUGCUCGAGUACUGGAGAGGAGAUUGGAAUUUACGGUGUAGCAGUGAAAUGCGUAGAUAUCGGGAAGAACACCCGUGGCGAAGGCGGCACUCUGGGACGGUACUGACGCUGAGACGCGAAAGCGUGGGGAGCGAACAGG